rnacentral:rRNA from 1 species
AGCCAUGCAUGUCUAAGUAUAAGCAAUUAUACCGUGAAACUGCGAAUGGCUCAUUAAAUCAGUUAUCGUUUAUUUGAUAAUACCUUACUACUUGGAUAACCGUGGUAAUUCUAGAGCUAAUACAUGCUGAAAAUCCCGACUUCGGAAGGGAUGUGUUUAUUAGAUAAAAAACCAAUGCCCUUCGGGGCUCCUUGGUGAUUCAUGAUAACUUUACGGAUCGCAUAGCCUUGCGCUGGCGACGGUUCAUUCAAAUUUCUGCCCUAUCAACUUUCGAUGGUAAGGUAUUGGCUUACCAUGGUUU